AUUUUUCUUCUAGAAAACAAGGUGAAUAGUGAAGUCCACGAUAAAUUGAAGGGAGUUGGAAAGAGAUGGUAUCAAUUUAUCAUAUCGUUCUCAUAUUGGUGUAAUGUGCGAGUAGAAAACGUGGAGAGACGGCCAAAGUGUGGGACCAUUUCAGCUGUCGGUUGCAAAUCUGUCUGGAUCUCUCUCUUCUUUAAUCUCUCCUCUCUCUCCUCUGUUUUCUUUUUCUUUUCUUUUUUAAAGUAAAAUAUUGCAUUUACUUGAAAGUAGAGCAAUAUUUUCAAGUAAACAACAGUUAUAACUCAAGCCAACCAGUUAUGAUCAGAACAAAUUCAACAAUGAUCAUUUUAAAAAUUCACCUAAUUUUCAUAGCAGGUGAUUUCAUAAUUACAAACACUUAAUCUCAACACCAAAAUAAUUAACAAAAAUCAUAAAAUAAAUCUUAAAACCCUUACACUAACAUAAUUCAUCAAUUUUUCUUACUAAACAAGACGAUGUAUACACUUACUUCACUAAUUUUAUAUCUAAUUAAUCUUAAAUUAUUGUUAAAUUAGACAAAAUCAACAAAAACCCUAACUCGAACCCUAAAACACUUAUGCUAGAAAAUUCACAAAUUAGCCAAGUAAAAUAGCAAAUUAAUAGAAAGGAGGGUGAAUAUACUUUAAAUUGGUUAAACGGGCUCUUAUGGGCGGUGGCGGUGGCGGUGAAAAAAGACUAGUGGUUUAUUGAGGGUGGAUGUCUAGAGAGAGAACCAACAACUAAAAAGAAGAGAAAAGCGAGAUCUAUUUCGGUGAAGGGAGAGUGAUUGUAUUUUUAUGAUGGAGAGAGAGAUUAGUUGGUCUGAGUUGAGAGCAGUGUUGGGAGGAGGGAGAAACAGGGGAAGAAAGAAGUAAGGGGAGAGGAAGAUA
rnacentral:lncRNA from 1 species